GGCGGCGUGCCUAAUACAUGCAAGUCGAGCGGACAGAUGGGAGCUUGCUCCCUGAUGUUAGCUUCGGACGGGUGAGUAACACGUGGGUAACCUGCCUGUAAGACUGGGAUAACUCCGGGAAACCGGGGCUAAUACCGGAUGGUUGUUUGAACCGCAUGGAGACAUAAAAGGUGGCUUCGGCUACCACUUACAGAUGGACCCGCGGCGCAUUAGCUAGUUGGUGAGGUAACGGCUCACCAAGGCGACGAUGCGUAGCCGACCUGAGAGGGUGAUCGCUCACACUGGGACUGAGACACGGCCCGAGACUCCUACGGGAGGCAGCAGCGAAUCUUCCGCAAUGGACGAAAGUCUGACGGAGCAACGCCGCGUGAGUGAUGAAGGUUUUCGGAUCGUAAAGCUCUGUUGUUAGGGAAGAACAAGUGCCGUUCAAGGGCGGCACCUUGACGGUACCUAACCAGAAAGCCACGGCUAACUACGUGCCAGCAGCCGCGGUAAUACGUAGGUGGCAAGCGUUGUCCGGAAUUAUUGGGCGUAAAGGGCUCGCAGGCGGUUUCUUAAGUCUGAUGUGAAAGCCCCCGGCUCAACCGGUUAGGGUCAUUGGAAACUGGGGAACUUGAGU
rnacentral:rRNA from 1 species